CCAAAACCAGAUAACUUUGAAGAAAGAGCUGGGGUGGCUUAUGCAUUAAUGCCAGCCCUUGGGAGGCUGAGGUGGGAAGCCGGCUGUGAGUGCAUGUCGAGCCUGGAAUAAACAGUGAGCUCCAUGACAGUCUGAGCUGAAGGGAGAGAGGCUCUGUCUCACAAAACCUUCAAGCAGCCAUGCUUAGGCUGCUGCCCUUCCUGCCAGUGGACGCAGCGUAAGUGAAGGUGACUCUGAAAGUGAGAGCUAGGUAUGGCGAUCUCAGGGGUUGGCUUGUGCUUCCUUAUGGUAGGACGAACGUGCAUCCAUGGGUUCUGAGAAUGAGACCAAAGCACUUUUCUAUGCUCUGAUUGUUUUUCCUAGUGGGACGAUAGAUGACUGUGAGCUGGUGGAAGGCCUUGUUCUCACACAGAAAGUGGCAAAUUCUGGCAUAACGAGAGUUGAGAAGGCUAAGAUUGGGCUUAUUCAGUUUUGCUUAUCUGCUCCUAAAACAGAUGUAAGUAAAAUCCAAGCUGAUUUCCUA
rnacentral:lncRNA from 1 species